rnacentral:lncRNA from 1 species
UUUUUUUGCCAUUUUUUUUCCUUAAACUUGCUAUGAAUAGAAGCUGAUAAUAUUUUUGAACUUUACCUAUGUAACUUUCACUUUUAUGGAAUCGAUUUUGAACACUGAGUUAAGCCAUCUACCAUUCUUUACCCAAUAUUUGCUUUAAUUUUGUUUUCUUUUUCCCCUUACACCCAGGGUCCAGGUCUCAUUGUCCAGAUUUAAGAAGGAGGAAUGUCAGCCAGAAGCAAGUUCUGAAAAUCUGAAGAGACUUAUUUUUGUUGCAUUCCUUAGGAGACAUAAGGCACAAGUGCCUCAAACUGAGGCAGAUGGUUCUCACCAGUGCCCUGGCAUAACGUUCCAUCCAGGUAGAUUGGAAGCAUUACCUUCUCUUUACUCCAACCAUCUGAGUCUUCUUAGAAUGUCACAAUUUUCUCCUAGGAGAGUAUUCCAAGGAACCAAAUAAACAUAAAUGAUCGAAAGUGUCCAGUCUGUCUGCCCUGACCUCACCAGCACCUUAUCCACCCAGAAUGAUCCUGAGCCCCAUGAUACUUCCCUCUGUCUGGGAGGAUGCAGAAAAGGUAUCAGCUAGAAGAAAAAUAUAAAAUACCGUUAAAAAUUCAUAUGCAAGCCAUUUCUACAUCAUAUUCCUUAGUAACUGUUCAUUAUGGAGAUUCAGCUUUUACCAAAUGGCAAAGGAAGUAUUCAUUUAUUUAUUGCCAGUUUUAUUAUAAC